rnacentral:lncRNA from 1 species
AAGGUCAAAAGUCACAAAAAUAGUACUUAAUGUUUUAUCAAAAGUCACAAACUUAGGGUUUAGAGUGAAAAGGUGGGGUUUAGGAUUUAGGGUUUAGGGUUUAGAGUUUAGGGUUUAGGGUUUAGAUUUUAAGGUUUAGGGUUUAGGGUUAGAGUUUAGGGUUUAGAGUUUAGGGUUUAGGGUUUAUGGUUUAGGGUUUAGAGUUUAGGGUUUAGGGUUUAGAGUUGAGAAAUGAGGUUUUGGGGA